AAUAAACUAAAUUUUCACUUUUUACAUAUAAUUUUUGGCUCUUCAUCUUAUUCAAAUUUUUUUGCGAUUGAUAUUUUUAUUUUUAUUACAUGAUAAAAUCAUGAAUAAUACUUUACGUGUGAUUAGUUUUUUUUCUAAUUUCCUAAAUUUUUUUCAAAUAAGAUGGACGGUUAAACGUUAGACAUGAAAACC
rnacentral:pre_miRNA from 1 species